UACGUAGGGCGCAAGCGUUAUCCGGAAUUAUUGGGCGUAAAGAGCUCGUAGGCGGUUUGUCGCGUCUGCCCGUGAAAAGUCCGGGGGCUCAACUCCGGAUCUGCGGUGGGGUACGGGCAGACUAGAGUGAUGUAGGGGGAGACUGGAAUUCCUGGUGUAGCGGUGAAAUGCGCAGAUAUCAGGAGGAACACCGAUGGCGAAGGCAGGUCUCUGGGCAUUAACUGACGCUGAGGAGCGAAAGCAUGGGGAGCGAACAGG
rnacentral:rRNA from 1 species